GGCGCGAAAACUUUACAAUGCUGGCAACAGCGAUAAGGGAACCUCGAGUGCCAGGUUACAAAUCUGGCUGUCGAGAUGCCUAAAAAGCAUUUCAUAGCAAGGGCCGGGCAAGACCGGUGCCAGCCGCCGCGGUAACACCGGCGGCUCGAGUGGUAACCGUUAUUAUUGGGUCUAAAGGGUCUGUAGCCGGCCGGAUAAGUCUCUUGAGAAAUCUGGCAGCUUAACUGUCAGGCUUUCAGGAGAUACUGUCUGGCUCGAGGCCGGGAGAGGUGAGAGGUACUUCAGGGGUAGGGGUGAAAUCUUGUAAUCCUUGAAGGACCACCAGUGGCGAAGGCGUCUCACCAGAACGGACCUGACGGCAAGGGACGAAAGCUAGGGGCACGAACCGGAUUAGAAACCCGUGUAGUCC
rnacentral:rRNA from 1 species